rnacentral:rRNA from 1 species
AAUGAACGCUGGCGGCAGGCUUAACACAUGCAAGUCGAGCGAGCGGCGGACGGGUGAGUAAUGUCUGGGAAACUGCCUGAAGGAGGGGGAAAAGUACUGGAAACGGUAGCUAAUACCGCAUACCAUAAGAUGUGACCAGAUGGGAUUAGCUAGUAGGUGGGGUAAUGGCUAACCUAGGCGACGAUCCCUAGCUGGUCUGAGAGGUUGACCGGCCACACGGAAACUGGGACACGGUCCAGACUCCUACGGGAGGCAGCAGUGGGGAUUAUUGCACAAUGGCCGCAAGCCGGAUGCAGCCAUGCCGCGUGGGUUAGUAAGGCCUUCGGUUUUUAAAGCACUUUCAUCGAGGAGGCGUUACGCGAACAAAAAGCACCGGCUAACUCCGUGCCAGCAGCCGCGGUAAUUC